UACCUGNCUUGNNUCCCUUUGACCGUCCUUAANCGGUUUUUUCCUUCNGGACNAAGAGACAGGUGGUGCAUGGUUGUCGUCAGCUCGUGUCGUGAGAUGUUGGGUUAAGUCCCGCAACGAGCGCAACCCUUAUCUUUAGUUGCCAUCUCUUUAUGGUGGGGUCUCUUGAGGGACUGGCGGGGAUUAAUCCGGAGAAGGGGGGGAUGACCUCAAAUCCUCUUGCCCCUUAUGAUCUGGGCUACACACGUGCUACAAUGGUGGGCACAAAGGGGAGCCAACCCGCGAGGGGGAUCAAACCCCAUAAAACCCAUCCCAGUUCGGAUUGGAGUCUGGCACUCCUCCACCUGAAGGUGGAAUCGCUAGUAAUCNCAAAUCAAAAUGNCGCGGUGAAUACGUUCCCGGGUCUUGCACACCCCC
rnacentral:rRNA from 1 species